rnacentral:rRNA from 1 species
GGAUUAGAUACCCUGGUAGUCCACGCCGUAAACGUUGUGUGCUAGGUGUCGCGGGUAUUGACCCCUGCGGUGCCGUCGUUAACGCAUUUAGCACACCGCCUGGGGAGUACGGUCGCAAGGCUAAAACUCAAAGGAAUUGACGGGGGCCCGCACAAGCGGUGGAGCAUGUGGUUUAAUUCGAUGCAACGCGAAGAACCUUACCAGGCCUUGACAUCCUUGGAAUUCUGCAGAGAUGCCGAAGUGCCUUCGGGAAUCAAGUGACAGGUGCUGCAUGGCUGUCGUCAGCUCGUGCUG